AAGUGUGGCUUGGAAUCCAGAUGGGAAGCGCUUUGUGACUGGAGGUCAGCGUGGGCAGUUCUAUCAGUGUGACUUAGAUGGUAAUCUCCUUGACUCCUGGGAAGGGGUAAGAGUGCAAUGCCUUUGGUGCUUGAGUGAUGGAAAGACUGUUCUGGCAUCAGAUACACACCAGCGAAUUCGGGGCUAUAACUUCGAGGACCUUACAGAUAGGAACAUAGUACAAGAAGAUCAUCCUAUUAUGUCUUUUACUAUUUCAAAAAAUGGCCGAUUAGCUUUGUUAAAUGUAGCAACUCAGGGAGUUCAUUUAUGGGACUUGCAAGACAGAGUUUUAGUAAGAAAGUAUCAAGGUGUUACACAAGGGUUUUAUACAAUUCAUUCAUGUUUUGGAGGCCAUAAUGAAGACUUCAUCGCUAGUGGCAGUGAAGGUAAAUUGUGUCCUUAUCAGUUUACAUAUGUUGAUAUUAAAGUCUGUAAAUCUCAAUUUAUGAAGGCAGUCAUGUCUCCAAGAAAAUUCAGGGUAGUAAGUUAAAAUUCUUUCAUUUAUCCAAUACACGGUUAAUUUCUCUCUGUAAUGACCUAAGCCCCUGUAUUAUCACAAAUUGUCACAUGCUGUCAUGUAUUACUUUCUCCUUUUCUGUAAUGACCUAAGCCCUCCAUAUUGUCAUGUAUUGUCACGGAUCAGCAGUGCUUAUUCUGACCACGUAGCAGUGUGUUUGGUGCAUGUGUCGAAUCAAGAUUUAGUUAAAUUAUUAUACUUUCAUAUGUUGACUUGUAUUUUCAUGGGACUGAUGGUUU
rnacentral:sRNA from 1 species